UAGAACGUUGAUAGGCAGGGUGUGUAAGCGCUGUGAGGCGUUGAGCUAACCUGUACUAAUUGCCCGUGAGACUUAACCAUACAACACCCAAAGGGUUUUG
rnacentral:rRNA from 1 species